CCCUUAGAUGUCCGGGGCUGCACGCGCGCUACACUGAAGGAAUCAGCGUGCUAAAACCAUUGUCGAAAGGCAUUGGUAAACCCAUUAAAAUCCUACGUGAUUGGGAUCGGGAAUUGCAAUUAUUUCCCUUGAACGAGGAAUUCCCAGUAAGUGUGGGUCAUAAGCUCGCGUUGAUUACGUCCCUGCCCUUUGUACACACCGCCCGUCGCUCCUACCGAUUGAAUGGUCCGGUGAAAAUUUCGGAUAGUGACGAUGCUGGCGGUUCGCCGCCGGCGCUGUCGCUAGAAGAUCUUUAAACCUUAUCAUUUAGAGGAAGGAGAAGUCGUAACA
rnacentral:rRNA from 1 species